rnacentral:rRNA from 1 species
UACGAAGGGUGCAAGCGUUACUCGGAAUUACUGGGCGUAAAGCGUGCGUAGGUGGUGAGUUAAGUCUGAUGUGAAAUCCCCGGGCUCAACCUGGGAAUGGCAUUGGAUACUGGCUCGCUAGAGUGCGGUAGAGGGUGGUGGAAUUCCCGGUGUAGCAGUGAAAUGCGUAGAGAUCGGGAGGAACAUCUGUGGCGAAGGCGGCCACCUGGACCAACACUGACACUGAGGCACGAAAGCUAGGGGAGCGAACGGG